rnacentral:lncRNA from 1 species
UAUUGAUCUCAUCCCAAUCUCCUGGGGUCUGAAUAGCUUUGGAAGAACUUUUAAAUCAUGCCUUGUACCAUGGCCUAUCAGACCAACGUUUGUUCCAACAAUGAAAUGAUUUGGAUCAGAUGGCAGAAAUUUAACAGUCAGCAUUUGGGGCAUUCUCAGGCGCACAUCCUUUGGGAAAAGACUGUUAUUCAAUUCCAUGGUAGAGCUAUGUACUAACUUCACUUUCCCUCCAGGAAUUAAGCCUAAAUCAGUUUGUGAACCAGCUAAAUCCACUUUCUGUAACUCUACAACUACCUGAAAAGUCAAUAUUCAACAUUAAAAAAUAAAUAUUUACCAGACCUUAAAGUUUUCUUAAUGGUUGUAAUAAUGUAUGACAUGCCUAUCUAAACAUUCCUUUAGAGUUAAGUCUAACCUUACAAUGAUUACAGGUAGACUCUUUACUCCCUGUCAGUGUUUGCAAUGCUAAAAAUAGUUUCACAUGCCCACCAGAAA